UACGUAGGGGGCUAGCGUUGUCCGGAUUUAUUGGGCGUAAAGAGCGUGUAGGCGGCCAGGUAGGUCUGCUGUGAAAACUCGAGGCUCAACCUCGAGACGUCGGCGGAAACCAUCUGGCUAGAGUCCGGAAGAGGAGAGUGGAAUUCCUGGUGUAGCGGUGAAAUGCGUAGAUAUCAGGAGGAACACCGGUGGUGUAGACGGCUUUCUGGACCGUAACUGACGCUGAGACACGAAAGCGUGGGUAGCAAACAGG
rnacentral:rRNA from 1 species